rnacentral:snRNA from 2 species
AGCCAUGCAGCGAGCACAAAGCGAACUAUUCUUUCGCCUUUUACUAAAGAAUAUUGUGUGCUCAUUGUAUUAAGUGGCAUACGUUUAUUUUUUGAGUCUUUUCUUCAUUUUCGGGU